GACGAACGCUGGCGGCGUGCCUAAUACAUGCAAGUAGAACGCUGAAGGAGGAGCUUGCUUCUCUGGAUGAGUUGCGAACGGGUGAGUAACGCGUAGGUAACCUGCCUGGUAGCGGGGGAUAACUAUUGGAAACGAUAGCUAAUACCGCAUAAUAGUAGAUGUUGCAUGACAUUUGCUUAAAAGGUGCAAUUGCAUCACUACCAGAUGGACCUGCGUUGUAUUAGCUAGUUGGUGGGGUAACGGCUCACCAAGGCGACGAUACAUAGCCGACCUGAGAGGGUGAUCGGCCACACUGGGACUGAGACACGGCCCAGACUCCUACGGGAGGCAGCAGUAGGGAAUCUUCGGCAAUGGACGGAAGUCUGACCGAGCAACGCCGCGUGAGUGAAGAAGGUUUUCGGAUCGUAAAGCUCUGUUGUAAGAGAAGAACGAGUGUGAGAGUGGAAAGUUCACACUGUGACGGUAUCUUACCAGAAAGGGACGGCUAACUACGUGCCAGCAGCCGCGGUAAUACGUAGGUCCCGAGCGUUGUCCGGAUUUAUUGGGCGUAAAGCGAGCGCAGGCGGUUAGAUAAGUCUGAAGUUAAAGGCUGUGGCUUAACCAUAGUACGCUUUGGAAACUGUUUAACUUGAGUGCAAGAGGGGAGAGUGGAAUUCCAUGUGUAGCGGUGAAAUGCGUAGAUAUAUGGAGGAACACCGGUGGCGAAAGCGGCUCUCUGGCUUGUAACUGACGCUGAGGCUCGAAAGCGUGGGGAGCAAACAGG
rnacentral:rRNA from 1 species